rnacentral:rRNA from 1 species
ACGGAAGGCAGCAGUGGGGAAUAUUGCACAAUGGGCGCAAGCCUGAUGCAGCGAUGCCGCGUGAGGGAAGAAGGUUUUCGGAUUGUAAACCUCUGUCAUCGGGGACGAUAAUGACUGUACCCGAGAAGGAAGCUCCGGCUAACUACGUGCCAGCAGCCGCGGUAAUACGUAGGGAGCGAGCGUUAUCCGGAUUUAUUGGGUUUAAAGGGUGCGUAGGCGGCCCCUUAAGUCGGCGGUGAAAUUUCCGGGCUCAACCCGGUCACUGCCGUCGAAACUGGGGGGCUUGAGUGCGUUUGGGGUGGCUGGAAUGUGCGGUGUAGCGGUGAAAUGCAUAGAUAUCGCACAGAACGCCGAUCGCGGAGGCAGGUCACCAAGCCGCAACUGACGCUGAGGCACGAAAGCGCGGGGAUCGAACAGGAUUAGAUACCCUGGUA